UACGUAGGUGACCAGCGUUGUCCGGAUUUACUGGGCGUAAAGAGCGCGCAGGCGGUCGUUCAAGUCGAGUGUGAAAGCCCCCGGCUCAACUGGGGAGGGUCACUCGAUACUGAUCGACUCGAAGGCAGGAGAGGGUAGUGGAAUUCCCGGUGUAGUGGUGAAAUGGCGUAGAUAUCGGGAGGAACACCAGUGGCGAAGGCGGCUCACUGGCUCGGACUGACGCUGAGGUGCGAAAGCGUGGGGAGCA
rnacentral:rRNA from 1 species